GGCAAGAUCCCAGGCAGUAGAUUGCUCAGAGACAGCAGAAGGAAGGCAAGUGAGUGAAAUCAUCUGAAUGUGUACUGCUCUACUUGCCAGCAGCCAUGAACUAAGUGGCGUUGCUCUGCUGAUCUCUUCUUUGACGAUGUCCCUACCUCAGAAGCAGCCUACCGUAAACCAAAUCCCUUGAAACCUUUGCUAUGGACUGUUUCUCCUCCG